UAGAUGCUAUGGUAGAUCGGUGACGACAAGCUCUCUGAAAAAAGAUGAAGAAAUCACCAAGCUUAAACAAAAGCAUGCCAAUGAAAUAACUUCUCUGAAGGAAGAAAUGAAGGAAACGAUGAGAGAAGAAAUGCGAUGUUUUUUUAGUCAAAUGGUGAAAAACAACCCUGGACUGGAUUUUCAUGAUAUACAAGGGUGUGUUGGAUCUAAUAUUCCUUCACCAAUUGAUGCAAGUAGUGCACGAGCUAUGAGAGGCCAAAAUCUACCACAUUCUUCUGGCUCAACUCACGCCCCAAGUCUUGAAAAGGAAAAUACGGGUGAUGCAAUUGGAUAUGGUGGUCACAAAUCAAUUUGAUUCAUUAAAGUGAAUAGUGAAGACCUUUUGAACAAUUGGGAUGUUUAUUUUUAUUGAUUCUAUAAAUAUGAAUACAUUUGGUUU